AUGAGAGGUGUGGAGGAGCUCCUCUACAAGAAAAAGAUGUUUCAGCUCUUAUAUAAGGGGGAAACAGGGAUCUGCACAAACUAUGGCGCUGGUGAGGAGGAAGGAGAUCAAGGAGGAGCGUGACAGAGGUCUGUAAGAUGGUGCUUUGGUUGGCUGGAGAGAGAAGGUUGGCCCUUGCCUUUUCCACUGGAGAAGGAAAGUCCUGUGUUAGUUCCCAUCCCAACUAAAGACCAGGAACAUUGCCACCUCCUUCUGUGGGGCUUCAAGGACGACUACAACAACAGCCAGAGAAGCAAAGGGGUGUUUCAGGCAAUUCCAGCCCUCACGCGCUCCUCAUGGGACAGCGAACUGUCGCCCCUCUCCUUCCUGGCAGCGCCGGGGUGCAGCCCGGGAGCUUGGUCCCCGCAGCGGAGGAGCAGGGGUUGCAGACAGUGCGGAGUGAUACACAUGCCUGCCCCACUGGUUGGCCGUGGAGACGCUGCCCCGGCUCGGGGGGAUGCUACCAACAGCACCUAUGGGCAGGGAGGCAGAGGAUUCCAUAGGAAGGCAGGUGCGUGUGUAGAAAGGCGGAUGAGUGUAUACGAAGGCAGGUGAAUGUAUAGGAAUGUGGAUGGGCUUAUAGGAAAGCAGGUGAACAUGUAGGAAAGCAGAUGAAUGUGUAGGAAGGCAGGUGGGCAUAUAGGAAGGUAGGUGAGUGUAUAGGCAGAUGAGUGUAUAGCAACAUGGAUGGGCAUAUAGGAAGAUAGGUGGGCAUAUAGGAAGGCAGGUGAGUAUAUAGGAGGUCAGGUUAAUGUCUAAGAAGGCAGAUGAGCAUAUAGAAAGGCAGUUGAGCACUUGGAAAGGCAGGUGAGUGUGUGGGUGGGAGGAUAAACAUAUAGGAAGGCAGGUGAGCAUAUGGGAAGGCAGAUGAGUGUAUAGGAAGGCAGGUGAGCGUAUAGGAAUGCAAUUGAGCAUAUGGAAACACAGGUGAGUGUGUAGGUGGGCGGAUGAGCGUAUAGGAAGGCAGAUGAGUGUACAGGAGGGCAGGAGAGCAUAUAGGAAGGGUGUUGAGCAUAUGGGAAGGCAGGUGAGUGUGCAGGAAGGUGGAUGAGUGUGUAGGGAGGCCAGUGAGUGUAUAGGGAGGCCGGUGAGCAUACAGCCCCCGCCAGCCCCUGAGGGGUCAGCUGCCUGCAGCCCCCGAGCGGCAGCACCUCCUUCCAUCAGCGGUAGCCGGUGCUUGUGGGGGGUGGUGGCUCUGCAGGCCGGGGGCGAGGCCCAGCCCAGCAGAAACCUCUAACUCCCCGUGGCUCCGAGCCACCCAAACCUCGCCUCACCGAACGCGGCCGCGCCGGCAGAGUCGUGCCGGACCCGGCGUGCCGGGGCUGUGCCGAGAUGACUCAUCCCGCUGCAUGCAGCAGCACACUUCCAACUAGCAACAAAUGAAAAUAGAAAUGUCCCUGGCUCCUGAGCCAGGAAUAAUGUUGCAGGCUAUUUUUUUGGUGGUUUUUUUUUCCCUUUAAAGUGAAAUCCCUUUUUUUCUUUGACUCUCUAACUCAGCCCCAAUAAAGCCACCGGCAAAGUCUCCUCCCCGGCUUCUCCGCUGUGGCCCGCGGCACGUCGGCUGCCAGCGUUGGUGCCAGUGGGGGCGGAUGCAGGAGGAGAGAAGCAAAGCCCAGCGAGGCGGGUCUGGGGGGACGAUGCCACGUCCUGGUGGGGCAUGGCUGGGUGGUUUUCUGGGAUGCAGAACUUGGGAGCAAAAAGGGGAGAAGGAGGAGUGCUUGGGGGUGUAGCCCAGGCUGCUUUGGAGGUUUAUAUGGUGAGAGAAGGAGGGAAGAGAGGAUGGACGACUGCUGGGAUGGAGAGCUGGGAGAUGGGAACGGCCAGACCCUCCUGCCUCGGUGGUGGGACAGGGAUACUGGGUCUCCUCGCUCUGCCUGCUUUGGGAUGAGCAUCCGCUGGUGGCUGCCAUCAAAUGGCAAAGGGGGGGUGAUGGAAAGUGGGGAAGAGGGGGAGCUGGGUCCGUGCCGGUCCCCAUGGAGCUGCCGGGGGCUGGUGGUGGUUGCAGCCGUGGCAGAGGUACAGGGACACCCCGGGAAGAAGCACAACAGUGUUAUCUCAGUCACCGCACGUAACCGCCGCUCCCGUUCCACACUGCCCGACAGGCCUCCCUGGGGCCCUGCCAGCCUUUUUUGGGAGGUGAUAAACUGAGUCUCACUGCUCUAUCAGGCCAGCCCACACCUAGGAUCCAGCAGAAGGCGGCCGCUCUCCCCACCCCUGCCUGAACCCUGGCUGCAGGACGCUCGUCCCCCUGGCAGACCCCAUCCAAACUGCCCCAGGGAUGAAGCAGAGCACAGCACACUCAUUAAAAACAAUUAAAAUAGCAAUUAAGGACUAUUUACAUAGCUGCUCAUCCAUAACCUCUAGCUUCCGGGAAGCAAGACCAUGCUACAGGUGACUUUUCCCAGGGGAUCGGAGCUGGAUGACGUGUGGAAAUAAUUUGUGGAUUUUUUUUGGAGUUUCUCCAAAAAAUGAUCACACAAUUUUCUUCUGCCAUUUCUCCUCGGCCAACCCUGCGUGGGUGUAACCCCACCGCCCGCUCCACAUGGGGCCCCAGCAAUGGGGAUGUCCCAGAGGGGCACUCGGGGACCCUCGUGCCGGAUGCUGGGGGAUAAUCCAGGCCACCCACACUUGAUUUUAGAGUUAGGAAGGGAGCAGGCAGCUCUCCCGGGCUGCUGCCCGUGCCAGCCCACGCUCCUGCCUGCAGCUGGGGAAAACCUCCAUCGAGCUUGUACAAACUGGCCAGGCUCGAGGCAGCUCCAAAACAUCUCCGGGGCAUCCUAUGCCACAUCAAAGUGCUUUUCCGGCAGCGAUGGAGGUGCUUCUUCUUGGGGUUCAGGAUGGCUGGGGGGCUGCUGGGGCUGCCGUGCCCGGUGCAGCUUGCACACCCGGGCGUACACAGGGCUGGGGCUCCCCUCGCUGCCCGGCUCCUCCUGGAUGAUGACCUCCUGCACCGGGAUGCUCGGCUCAUCCCUGGUGGGCAGGGAUGGGGAGUCCCUCGGGGUGCUGCCGGCAUCCCAAGGCUUUUUCAGCAUCCCAGCUUUGUACCGGAUGCUUUCAUAGAUGGUCCCCUCAGCAUCCAGUGCAGUGUCCGCUGCAGGUGUGCCAGCAUCCCCGGGCAGAACCGGCAGCUGUCGGUGCCGCAGAAACUCAGGGGUCCUUGGAGACGGUCCGGAGAGUUCCUGGGAAUGGGGUGUCCAGCCCGGCACCUGCAGCCUGGGGUGUCCCGCACCGGCGUUAUCCGGGUCUCCCGGCACCACCAGGCUGUCUGCCUGCUGCUGGGGCUCACCAGGAGAGGGGAUGCCUGCAGGGAGGGAAAAGAGGGGGUGCUGAGCCGGCGAGGGUACCCCCAGCACCAUCGCCCUGGGGGUCAUCCCUGGCUAAUGCGAGGGUAAAGUAGCCCUGAGGAAAUGGGAUUAAACAGGUCCCGCUCCCACUUCUGUCCCCGCUCCCCACUUUUAGCAAGAAAGAUAAUAAAAAGCAAAUUAAAAACAGGGCGAGAAUCCCCAGGUUGGUGGCGGGGGAUGGCAGCGGGGCCAGCGCGGUGUCGGGACCUGCCGCCCGCCUUCCCGUGCGGCGGCUCAUGCCUUUGGUCAAAUAUUUAUUUAAGAAGGAGGCUCUGCUCUGUGAGCAGGAUCUGUCAGCACGGGGAGCUGGCAGAGCAGGACGCCCAGCCGGUUUGUUCGCUCCGAAAGCGAAGUAGGCUCUGGAAAAAGCUACGUAACCGGGUGUUUCUCCUCCUGUUUUAAAUAUGUGGGGGUAUGGUGGUCCUGUGGGAUUUGGGUGCAGGAGCCGGGGCGCUCCCUGCCCCAGCUGCGGUGCGGGGUGCGUACGUGCCUGCAGCACGGCGGUGGAGGCACGGGCUGGUGCAGGAGCUUGCAGGGUCGGAUCCAGGCCAGAGCCCCUCGGGGCCAGCACAGCCUCCUCACCGCCCUCCAACUCUGGCCUGGCAGAAAGCAGCCCCAUGAGCACCCCAACAUGAGCACCCCAAUGCAAGCAUCCCAGCAUGGACACCCCAACAUAAGCACCCCAAAGUGAGCAACCCCAACAUUAACAUCCCGAAGCAAGCAUCCCAACCUGAGCACCCCACCGUGAACACCUCAAUGCAAGCAUCCCAACAUGGACACCCCAACAUAAGCACCCCAAGGUGAGCACCCUCAGAACAAGCACCCCAGCACGAGCCCUCUGUUAGCAUCCUGUCAGCUCCCCAAUGUGAGCGCCCCAGCAUGAGCAUCCCAACCUGAGCACCCCACCAUAAGCACCCCAAUGCAAGCAUCCCAACAAGGGCACCCCAACAUGAGCACCCCACCCUGAGCAUCCCGAAGCAAGCACCCCAGCAUGAGCACCCCAAUGCAAGCACCCCAACAUGGGCACCCCGAUAUGAGCACCCCAGCCUCGGCACCCCACCACCAGCCCCAGUGUGGACACCCCGUGAGGCCCCGAUGCGAGCACCUCAGCGAGAGCACCGCGGCGCACCCCCGCAGCCCACCUGCUGCACCCCAAGGGGCCGAGGCUUCGCUUUCGGGGAGUCCCUGCCCCAUCCUUCUGCAGCAAAGCAGGAGAGGGUGAGGGGUGCCCCAGAAAUGGGGUACGGGGGGGGGGCAGGCUGGCAGAGCCACCCCAUAAAAUACUCAGGAGCUCCCCGUUGUGGUGCAAAGAGAAGCAGGAAUUUUGCUCGAGCACCUCGAAGCUCAGCCGCGGCGUGGCGGAAAGGGGAAAUUAAUACGUGGGGUUUAAUCGUCCUCGUUAUCUGGCGAUGCCGAAUAAAGCACUCCUGGUGUAAAUGGGAAGAGAAACUUGUUCCCGGCUGUGUGGAAAAGCAA